rnacentral:rRNA from 1 species
GAUGAACGCUGGCGGCGUGCCUAACACAUGCAAGUCGAGCGAUCUUCUUCGGAAGAGAGCGGCGGACGGGUGAGUAACGCGUGGGUAACCUGCCUCAUACACAUGGAUAACAUACCGAAAGGUAUGCUAAUACAAGAUGAUAUAAGAGAUUCGCAUGGAUUUCUUAUCAAAGCUCCGGCGGUAUGAGAUGGACCCGCGUCUGAUUAGCUAGUUGGUAAGGUAACGGCUUACCAAGGCGACGAUCAGUAGCCGACCUGAGAGGGUGAUCGGCCACAUUGGAACUGAGACACGGUCCAAACUCCUACGGGAGGCAGCAGUGGGGAAUAUUGCACAAUGGGCGAAAGCCUGAUGCAGCAACGCCGCGUAAGCGAUGAAGGCCUUCGGGUCGUAAAGCUCUGUCCUCAAGGAAGAUAAUGACGGUACUUGAGGAGGAAGCCCCGGCUAACUACGUGCCAGCAGCCGCGGUAAUACGUAGGGGGCUAGCGU